GUAAACACCGGUUCCCAUAUGAUUAUUGAAGUAAAGCCAUGUUGACGCAGGUCAGUUCUUCGAUGGGUGACCACUUGGGAAUACUCUGUGCUGUAA